GACGACGCUGGCGGCGUGGAUUAGGCAUGCAAGUCGAACGGUAGGAUCCUUUCGGGGAUCUGAGAGUGGCGAACGGGUGAGUAACACGUAGGUGAUCUACCCUCAAGAUUGGGACAACCCAGGGAAACUUGGGCUAAUACCGGAUGAAAGCAGCAGUGAUGUUGUUUGAAAGGUGGCGUAAGCUGCCGUUUGGGGAUGAGCCUGCGCUCUAUUAGUUAGUUGGCGGGGUAAAGGCCCACCAAGGCGAUGAUAGAUAGGCGGCCUUAACGGGUGGUCGCCCACACUGGGAUUGAGAUACGGCCCAGACUCCUACGGGAGGCAGCAGUCGAGAAUAGUCUACAAUGGCCGAAAGGCUGAUAGUGCGACGCCGCGUGAACGAAGAAGCCCUUCGGGGUGUAAAGUUCUUUUAUAUGUGAGCAGUGCUUUCUAUGUGAACAGCAUGGGGAGAGAGAUAUUAGCAUAUGAAUAAGCAACGGCUAACUCCGUG
rnacentral:rRNA from 1 species